CAGGCUGCAACUCGCCUGCAUGAAGUCGGAAUUGCUAGUAAUCGCGGAUCAGCAUGCCGCGGUGAAUACGUUCCCGGGCCUUGUACACACCGCCCGUCACACCAUGGGAGUCGGUAACACCCGAAGCCGAUAGUCUAACGAAAGAGGACGUCGUCGAAGGUGGGAUUGAUGACUGGGGUGAAGUCGUAACAAGGUAUC
rnacentral:rRNA from 1 species